CCUGAAGGAACGUUGAAGACGACGACUUUGAUAGGCCGGGUGUGUAAGCGCAGCGAUGCGUUGAGCUAACCGGUACUAAUGAACCGUGAGGCUUAACCUUACAACGCCGAAG
rnacentral:rRNA from 1 species